AUCCAUUGUUGGAAAGAGAUUAUUUUGGCAAGCAGACCUUGAAAACUGACUGAGAGACUUUCGAGAUCGGUAAUUAAUUAGCAACCCGCUAGAUGGAUCCCAAAAGUUCAAACUUGAGUUCUGAUCAUGUCCAGAUCAAUAUUAUGAGCCACGGGCAAAAUUCAGGUCCCAAAACCGCAUUAGAUCCUAUUACAAAUAACAUUCCGGCCAAUUCAGGCCCCAAGACCGCAUCAGAGCCUAAAGCUACAAAUGCGAAUGCAAAUACCCCCAGGAAACCUGAUAGAAGUCUAUUCAGUGUGGGUAAUAAAAAGUAUAUGGAGAUUUGUGUUCCAU